UGCCUGCCGUCUGGAUGCCCUAGCUUCA
rnacentral:piRNA from 1 species